CCAUAACAUGUGCCUGACACCUCCUGCCACUGCCCCAUAACAUGUGCCUGACACCUCCUCCCAGUGCCCCAUAACAUGUGCCUGACACCUCCUCCCAGUGCCCCAUAACAUGUGCCUGACACCUCCUCCCACUGCCCCAUAACAUGUGCCUGACACCUCCUCCCACUGCCCCAUAACAUGUGCUUGACACCUCCUGCCAGUGCCCCAUAACAUGUGCCUGACACCUCCUGCCAGUGCCCCAUAACAUGUGCCUGACACCUCCUGCCAGUGCCCCGUAACGUGCCUGACACUGCCCCACAACAUGUGCCCAACCCUUCCUGCCACCACCCUCUAACAUACACUAACACCACCCGCCACCACCUCUAUCUGUGCUGCCAGCACCCACCACAGCCUGUCAUUGCCCCAGGCCUGCCGCAGGGUGCGUGGGUAGCAGAUCUAUCCCACCCAGUUGUGAGGGUGGCUGGUCUGUGGGUGACAGGGCAGCAGGCAUCUCUGUCCCUGUGCACAAAGUAUGGGAAUGGCACAUCAUCCAGAGGUGCAACAGCAGUGGAGAGCUCACCUUGAGCAUGAUGCCAGCACAGCCAGCAUCCAAACAUCAAGCAUCCCAACUCCAGUCCCUGAGAGGUGCUGAGACAGGUGGCUUUAAAUUGAUUCCAGAGCUCUGCCUGCAAACCUGCAGCAUCUUUAGCUCCAGUAAUUUAGACCUGACCAAAGCUGUCCAUAGUGAAUUGCUUUGAGUCUCUCCCUGUGGAAAGCAUCCCUUGGUCUUUGAUGGGUCUGUCAGUUCCAAAUGCCUAAGCCUCCUUUCUAGCAGCAGUGAGAUCAUCUUCCCAAAGUGGAAGCAGCAGUGGGCUCAUCUUCCCAAAACAAUCCUUCAGCAAUCCUUGAACAUGCAUCCUGCUGAGAACACACAGCCUGCUAGCCCCACCAAGCUGGGGGGCAUAAAUAUUCCCUCCUGCAGUAAUCAGCAUCUGGGGCUCGAGUAGCUGGCCAAGGUGAGAGUGCAUUGUCUGAGGGGAUGGAGCAAAAUGAGAUGAUCUCAGCUGUUUGUUCAGAUUGGAAAACUGUUGGAGAAAUAAUAUUACCAUUUCAUUGCCAGUGGCCUGGUGUGACCUGCUUUGCUGCAAAUGCUUGUCUUUGGCUCACACUUUCAAGUCCUUUCGACCACAUAUUCAUAAAAUUUCAGGGGAAAAAGAUUCAGAUAAAUCUCUGAUGGAUUUCACCAUUAUUUUCAUGCUGAGUUCUCUGAGAAAAAGACACCCUUCAAGAUAGAUCAAGAGGUGAAGAAUCCAUAACUUCCCUUGGCAAUUUGAUCCAAGGACUAACUGCCCUCUCAGUUAAAUUUUAAUUACUAAUUUCUAAUUUGCAUCUCUCUGGCUUUAUCUGCAGUUCUGCCUUUGCUCCCUCCCCACUCUAUUUCUAAUAGUUGGUAGAAAUGCAGUCCCAUAUUUUCUCAGUUGUUUGGGGGUUUUUUUAGCUAAAUUGGCUAAGCCUAUUAUGGUUGCCAUUGUAAGUAGUAUUGCUAGAGCUCUGGCAAUUUUUAUUCUUUCUAGUAUUUUGACCAGUUCUUCAAUAUACACUCUGAAAAGUGAAGUGUUGAUUUGUACAAAUAUAUUGGAGUUUCAGGCUAGUCAGGAGGACCAUGGACAGAGGAAAAUCCCAUGACCCAUGGGUCCUCUGUUGACAUAUCUAGACAUAUCUAUGACCAUAUUUGCUCUUUUAUUAAGGAUUCACACU
rnacentral:lncRNA from 1 species